UACGAAGGUGGCAAGCGUUGCUCGGAAUCACUGGGCGUAAAGGGUGCGUAGGCGGGUCUUUUAAGUCAGAGGUGAAAUCCUGGAGCUCAACUCCAGAACUGCCUUUGAUACUGAAGAUCUUGAGUUCGGGAGAGGUGAGUGGAACUGCGAGUGUAGAGGUGAAAUUCGUAGAUAUUCGCAAGAACACCAGUGGCGAAGGCGGCUCACUGGCCCGAUACUGACGCUGAGGCACGAAAGCGUGGGGAGCAAACAGGG
rnacentral:rRNA from 1 species